UACGACCAGACACAUUUGUGCGAGGGGCUGCUUAAAUAGGCUUUUCUGUUGAUGAUGACAUAUCUUGCCAGAAAGCUAAAAGCAUUCGUGGCUCAAAUUACAUGCCUUCGUUAAGCACCAAGCCGCCUAUGGAAAAGGCCCGUCAGUGGGUGGGUUCAUCAAACGGAACGCUAUGCUAAAACACCUGCCAACAGGUUUGUCCCUGUGUUCAAGUACCGCUUUCUCU
rnacentral:lncRNA from 1 species